rnacentral:rRNA from 2 species
UGGGGAAUAUUGCACAAUGGGGGAAACCCUGAUGCAGCGACGCCGCGUGAGUGAAGAAGUAUUUCGGUAUGUAAAGCUCUAUCAGCAGGGAAGAAAACAGACGGUACCUGACUAAGAAGCCCCGGCUAACUACGUGCCAGCAGCCGCGGUAAUACGUAGGGGGCAAGCGUUAUCCGGAAUUACUGGGUGUAAAGGGUGCGUAGGUGGCAUGGUAAGUCAGAAGUGAAAGCCCGGGGCUUAACCCCGGGACUGCUUUUGAAACUGUCAUGCUGGAGUGCAGGAGAGGUAAGCGGAAUUCCUAGUGUAGCGGUGAAAUGCGUAGAUAUUAGGAGGAACACCAGUGGCGAAGGCGGCUUACUGGACUGUCACUGACACUGAUGCACGAAAGCGUGGGGAGCAAACAGG